rnacentral:tRNA from 1 species
GGGGACGUAGCUCAGCUGGGAGAGCGCCUGAUUUGCAUUCAGGAGGUCGUGAGUUCGAUCCUCAUCGUCUCCACCA